AUCCAGCUCACGAGUCCUAAAUAGGACGAAACGCGUGUCCUGGAU
rnacentral:hammerhead_ribozyme from 1 species